rnacentral:lncRNA from 1 species
CCCAAAAUGCUGUGCUGCAGGAUGACACACGCCCUAAAGUGCAGUCAUGCACAGCAAAAAUGUUACUAUGGCAUUUUAAAUCAGUUUGUAUUUUUUUCCUAAUUCUGUUUUUUUCUCCCAAAUUUUCUUUUCUCAGUUUUGUUUUUACAGGUUUCGUAUUUCCCUCAUUCUUUCUGUUUUCCCCCCCAUUCUUUACACACUUUUUUAAUAGAGAAACAACAUUUUAUUUUACGUGUUCAAAACAGUACUUAAACCGCAUCAGGGGUCCACUUUUGAGGUGUUUCUGUAGCGCUGUAAGCACACAUGUGAUGGAAUUCGCAAAUCAAAUGCCCACUUGUGGUGCCACUGGAUAGCAAAAAUGUGUUGGAACCAACAUGCAGUACCUCCAGCAGGCAGAGAGUCAAGAACCAUUUGUCCACCAGCUCAGGGACAAGCAACACUAUUCACAGCCCUGUGUAAUGUUCAAUGUAAUUGCAUUACUGGACUUUUUGAAACUUAAAGUAUUUGUAUUGUUUAAAAAUGUAAAAAUGAAAGGAAAUGUAUGGUUUAAACUUAGAUUUGUAUUUAUUUUAACUGUUAGUGUUAACACAUGUGUUUCAUUUAGCAUUUUUGUGUGUUAUGAAUGACAAAGGUGUCUUGACUUUACAGUAAGUACAGCAUUUACAUUUAAGUCAUUUAGCAAUUAGGGUAAAGUGUCUUGCUAAAGGGCACAUUGACAGAAGCAGGCCAUCCCCAAACUGCUGCUACUAAGUUCUUGGAAGGCGUUCUACUAGUUCUUGGAAGGCGUUCUACUUCUACGGGGCGGCAGGCAGCCUAGUGGGGUUGCAAGAUCGAAUCCCCGAGCUGACAAGGUACAAACAUUUAAAAGAUAUGUUGUUCUGCCCCUGAACAAGGCAGUUAACCCACUGUUCCUAGGCUGUCACUGAAAACAAUUAUUUGUUCUUAACUGACUUGCCUAGGUAAUAAAACAAAAAACAAUGUUGGAAGCACAGAAUUGUCUAGAACAUCAUUGUUAAAAGAAAGGAACGAGGUGGGUAGCUAAUUAAGUGUGUCAUGCAUUUAUAAACAAAAAAAUAUUUUUC